GUUAAGGACUCAAACAUAACUAGAGAGAAGAAGUGGGUAUGUCCCAGAAUUUUUAUAGCUGAAACACAAAGCUGAAUCUCAAAUUCACACAAUCAUGAUGAUAUGGUGCAACUUGUUGAAAUUGUGUUAAAGGAUACAAUGCGCUGAUCCUGGUACGCCCACUUCUGUUUCAGAUACUCAAUGAGGCUGGAAACUUUCCUGUGAAGUUCCACCACCAUCCUGGGUUGCAAAAGAUGAAAAGAAAGAGUUUGCCAAUAGCUGCUGAUUCACAACCGGCUGUGCAGACCCCUGGCCCUUGGAGGCCUUGGACACUCCCCCUGUGGAGCCAGCCAAAGGGCCCGACUGUCCCACUGCCCCCUGGGAGGAAGAGCCAUUCUCUGCGCCUGUAAUACAUAGAGACAAGGAGCCCACAAACCCGAUGGUGUUGCAACUGGGGCUGGAGCAGCCAGAAAUCUACACAAGCACAACCCAGCCAGUGGCCCAGAGGGACUACACGGCAACAAAAACAGCAUCACUUUAGCCACCACAGAUUAACAACCGGUAAACACAGCGACACAGUCAAAACUGAGAGUGGACCCCCUGUUAAUCCCUGCUAAACAAGCACUUCUCCCAGCUGGUCACCUUCAGUACCUUUCG